GCCAGAGAUGGCUGGUGCCGAAAGGGAAUCGGAACAUAGGUGCUGCAUGGCUGUCGUCAGCUCGUGUCGUGAGAUGUUGGGUUAAGUCCCGCAACGAGCGCAACCCUUAUCAUUAGUUGCUACGCAAGGGCACUCUAAUGAGACUGCCGGUGACAAACCGGAGGAAGGUGGGAUGACGUCAAGUCCUCAUGGCCCUUAUGGGUAGGGCUUCACACGUCAUACAAUGGUCGGUACAGAGGGUUGCCAAGCCGCGAGGCGGAGCCAAUCCCACAAAGCUGAUCGUAGUCCGGAUUGUUCUCUGCAACUCGAGAGCAUGAAGUCGGAAUCGCUAGUAAUCGCAGGUCAGCAUACUGCGGUGAAUACGUUCCCGGGUCUU
rnacentral:rRNA from 1 species